CCUACGUGCGGCCGCAGUGAGGAAUAUUGGUCAAUGGUCGCAAGGCUGAACCCGCCAAGUCGCGUGAAGGAAGAAGGAUCUAUGGUUUGUAAACUUCUUUUAUAGGGGAAUAAAGGUAUCCACGUGUGAAUUUUUGUAGUUCCCGCAUGAAUAAGCAUCGGCUAAAUCCGGGCCAGCAGCCGCGGUAAUACGGAGGAUUCGGGCGUUAUACGGAUUUAUUGGGGUUAAAGGGUGCGUAGGUUGUUUUGUAAGUUAGCGGUGAAAGUUUGUGGCUCAACCAUGAAACUGCCGUUGAAACUGGCAGGCUUGAGUGCGUGUGACGUAGGCGGAAUGCGUGGUGUAGCGGUGAAAUGCAUAGAUAUCACGCAGAACUCUGAUUGCGAAGGCAGCAUAC
rnacentral:rRNA from 1 species